GACGAACGCUGGCGGCGUGCUUAACACAUGCAAGUCGAACGGAAAGGCCCUGCUUUUGUGGGGUGCUCGAGUGGCGAACGGGUGAGUAACACGUGAGUAACCUGCCCUUGACUUUGGGAUAACUUCAGGAAACUGGGGCUAAUACCGGAUAGGAGCUCCUGCUGCAUGGUGGGGGUUGGAAAGUUUCGGCGGUUGGGGAUGGACUCGCGGCUUAUCAGCUUGUUGGUGGGGUAGGGGCUUACCAAGGCUUUGACGGGUAGCCGGCCUGAGAGGGUGACCGGCCACAUUGGGACUGAGAUACGGCCCAGACUCCUACGGGAGGCAGCAGUGGGGAAUAUUGCACAAUGGGCGGAAGCCUGAUGCAGCAACGCCGCGUGCGGGAUGACGGCCUUCGGGUUGUAAACCGCUUCCGCCUGUGACGAAGCGUGAGUGACGGUAAUGGGUAAAGAAGCACCGGCUAACUACGUG
rnacentral:rRNA from 1 species